GACGGGGGAUGCGAGCGUUAUCCGGAAUUAUUGGGCGUAAAGAGCUCGUAGGCGGUCUGUCGCGUCGGCUGUGAAAACUCGGGGCUCAACCCCGAGCCUGCAGUCGAUACGGGCAGACUAGAGUGCGGUAGGGGAGACUGGAAUUCCUGGUGUAGCGGUGAAAUGCGCAGAUAUCAGGAGGAACACCGGUGGCGAAGGCGGGUCUCUGGGCCGUAACUGACGCUGAGGAGCGAAAGCGUGGGGAGCAAACGGG
rnacentral:rRNA from 1 species